rnacentral:rRNA from 1 species
CAUGGCUUUUUGUUAUUUAUAUAAGGUUUAACCUGCCCAAUGAUGUAAUUAAAUGGCCGCGGUAUUUUGACCGUGCAAAGGUAGCAUAAUCAUUAGUUUUUUAAUUGAAAGCUGGAAUGAAAGGUUGAAUGAGAAAAUGACUGUCUUUAUUAUAUUUAAUUAGAACUUUAUUUUUAAGUUAAAAAGCUUAAAUAUUAUUUAAAGACGAGAAGACCCUUUAGAGUUUUAUAAAAAAUUAGUUUUUGAGGUUUAAGAAUUUAGUUAUGAGAAAAUUAAUUUUUAUUUAGUUGGGGCGAUUAAAAAAUUUAAAAAACUUUUUUUUUUAUUUAACAUUAAUUUAUGAAUAUUUGAUCCAUAAAUUAUGAUUAUAAGAUUAAAUUACCUAAGGGAUAACAGCGUUAUUUUUUUUGAGAGUUCUUAUCGAAAAAAGAGAUUGCGACCUCGAUGUUGGAUUAAAAUUAAAUUAUGGUGCAGAAGCUAUAAC